rnacentral:rRNA from 1 species
AUUGAACGCUGGCGGCAGGCCUAACACAUGCAAGUCGAGCGGAUGAAGGGAGCUUGCUCCUGGAUUCAGCGGCGGACGGGUGAGUAAUGCCUAGGAAUCUGCCUCGUAGUGGGGGAUAACGUCCGGAAACGGGCGCUAAUACCGCAUACGUCCUGAUGGAGAAAGUGGGGGAUCUUCGGACCUCACGCUAUCAGAUGAGCCUAGGUCGGAUUAGCUAGUUGGUGGGGUAAAGGCCUACCUAGGCGACCAUCGGUAACUGGCCUGUGAGGAUGAUCAGUCACACUGGAGGUGGGACACGGUCAAGAGUCCUACGGGAGGCAGCAGUGGGGAAUGUUGGGCAGUGGUCGAAAACAUGGUCCAGCCAUGGCGCGUGUGUGAAGAAGGUCUUCGGAGUGUAAAGCACGCUAAGUUGGGAGAAAGCGCAGUAAGUUAAGACCAUGCUGUUUUGACGGUACCGGCAGAAGAAGCACCGGCUAACUUCGUG